ensembl:lncRNA
CCCAGCCCAGCCCGGUGUCUGCGGGGCUCUCGUCCCGCACGGCUGUGAGCUGAGUGGUGGCCUCAUCCUCCCAAGAGCCCGGUCGGGCCCAGGAACCCAGGGUCCCACUGUGGGGCCAUGCGAGACACCAACCUCGGGCAACCAGAGGCCCUGGUCGGAGCUCGGUGGUCCACGUGGUCCCUGGGCCUCCCGGCCUCCUCCAGAGCACCGAGCAUACAGAGGAGACAAAAGCCACAGGGCCUAAGGCGACCUCCACCAGCGGGGACCAAACCAGGCCGGAGCAGCGGGUUGGAAACCGAGGGGAGAAGGAACCGCAGAGCUCAGGAGUGUGGCCAUGCAGAAGCAGGCGCUCACAGUGCCCAGUGUGCAAGGACUGAGGUUCGCACAGCUUUGCCAGUGCUGUUGUUACUUUCAGUGCAACACACUUACCUGCCCGAGUGGUAGCACUUUACCCUGAAACAGUUUUGUGUGGGAGACUCCGCCUGGCCUGGCUUCGGUGAGAGUUCAGGGUGUUCCAGCAGAUGUUGAGGAGACAGAAUCGAAAUUCAGGCCUUUUGACGUCCGGAAGGUGCAGCUCAACCCUUGAGCCCCGUGCUCAGGAGCACCCCAAGCCAGCGCUGCGGUGGCCGCGGGAAGCAAGUGCGAUUGACGCGAGGACGUGGCGCCAUCUGGUGUCUGAGUUGGGGAUCGCAGGAGCGAGGUUUCCUUUCAAUUCCCGCUUUGGAGAGAAGGCGGCCGGCCAUGCCCCUGAACGCAUUAGGAAAAAGCCGUUUAAAAGCCCUCUGUCCGACCAGCCACACUCUCAGCCUGGAGCUUUGAGUCUCUAAGGUGCGGAGAAGGCGGAAGUUGUUGACAGUGACAUGGGAGAAACUGAGUGUCCGUGGUGCAGGCUGCAAGUGUCAGCGUGGUGACGGCACUGACCACAUCCACUGCAGCCUGUUCCCACCUGACCCGUGCUCCGCUUCUGCCUGGACAUUUUCUGUGCCUGUGUCCCUGGCCUUUCUGAUGGGCAGGGGGGCCCUGACAUCCUUCCAGCCAGUGUUGUUUUGCAGAGUUGCAUCUGAGACUCACGAAUGGCACAAAUGCAUCCUGCUCCAGGCGAGCUCAUUGUUUGGCUCUCUGAAGCCUUCUGCUCAGUGAUCUGGACUGAAAAAGAUGGCUCUCCCAGCUCUCCAGGCCCCAUAUCAGAUGUUCAAGUCCUUAAACCCUCUUCUCUCGCUGUCCACACGCAGUCACCAAGUCCUAUGGGCAAGGAUCUCCUGAAAACGUUUCCUGGUCUCCACAGCCUAAACUGCCAUCCUCUUUGCCUAGAAUCUUGUAGUUGCUCCCAAACCAGUGUCCUUGCUCCCUAAUCCCUCACUCAUGCAGAUCCAGAGCAAACUGUGCCACUCCUUUGCUUACAGCCUUACAGUGUUUGUGUUGCUCUGAAGGUUAAGUCCACAUCACCUUGCAGUCCCUAACCAAAUAGGCAGAGCAAUAGUGACCCGUGGGAAAACUACACGUGGCCUAAUCUCCUUGUACUUGGGCUCUCUGAGGAAGGGAGAGGACAGGAAAAUAUUUGGAGAGAUAACAGUGAACAAUUUUCAAAUUUGAUGAAAAGUAUGAACUCACAGAUCCAAGGUGCAUGAUGAAUCCCAGGAGACAUGAAGCAAUUGCACUAAGACACAUGAUCAAGUGGCUGAAAACAGGUGGCAAACAGAGAAUCCUGAAGUUCAACCAGAGAUGGAAACAUCUCAUUCUGAAGAUAUGGAGGACAGCAGAUUUCCUGCUGGAAACUAGGCAAACCAGAGGACAGUUGGGCAGCACACUUCAAACAGUGAAAGAAAACAUCCUCAACUCAUGAAAACCUCCAUAGAAAAUGAAGAAGAAUAAAGUGAACAGAAUUCGUCUCCAGCCAACUUGCACUAUAAGGAAUAUUAAGAGAAGUCCUUGAGGCAGAGGAAAAUGGGGCUGGGUGGAAAUUUAGAUCUGUGCAAAGAAAUAAGGAGCCCCCAAAAUGCUAAUUAUGUGGGUAAAAAUCCUUAUUUAAACUUCUGUAAAAUGUAAUUGUUUAAGUAAAGAAAGGAACAGCAUGUACUGUGGAGUUUAUAACAGGCAGAAGUCACGUGAUUGCCAACCACAGCAUAGGAGGCAGGAAGUGUGAGAGAGAAGGGCUCUGCUGCAAGGUUCUUAUGCUCUAUGUGAAGCCGCUCUAUGCGCUUGAGGAAGGGUGAGAGUUAAAGAUGCACCGUAUAAACCCAGAGCACCUGCUAAAACCACAGAACAAAAGCUAUGGCUAAUAGGUCAACAGAGGAGGGAUUCCAAUGGUGUGGGAGAAAGCUUUUUCGAAUGCUGGCUCCGAUCAUUAUAGGAUCAUGGUGAUCACUUCGGGGGCCUUCCAUUUGUCAAACCUCACUAACACCCUUCAUUUAUGCCAAUUAUAUUUCAGUCAAGCUGUUAAGAAAAGGUGUCUCUUCAUGGCAGGAUUAGGGAUCACUUUUAUUUUCUUCAUUAUCCAGGAUAAAAAUGAGAAGGAUAAUGUGAAUAAGC